rnacentral:rRNA from 1 species
UACGUAGGGGGCUAGCGUUGUCCGGAUUUAUUGGGCGUAAAGAGCGUGUAGGCGGCCAUGUAGGUCCGGUGUGAAAACUCGAGGCUUAACUUCGAGAUGUCAUCGGAAACCAUUUGGCUAGAGUCCGGAAGAGGAAAGUGGAAUUCCUGGUGUAGCGGUGAAAUGCGCAGAUAUCAGGAAGAACACCAAUGGCGAAAGCAGCUUUCUGGGACGGUACUGACGCUGAGACGCGAAAGCGUGGGGAGCGAACAGG